GCGGGCGUCGUAUAAUGGUUAUUACGGCAGCUUCCCAAGCUGCUCACGCGAGUUCGAUUCUCGUCGCCCGCUCCA
rnacentral:tRNA from 1 species